AAGAUAAUUGAUAUUGUGUCAAGAGAUGUUCAGUGGCCAGAGGAUAAGGCCCAAGCCCUGACGGAUGUGAACGGCACAAUAUUGUACAUUGUGCUAAUAGUUGUGACCGGGUCAGUUUGCACAGCUCUUCGGGCAUGGCUAUUCAAUUCUGCUAAUGAGAGAGUCGUUGCUCGACUUAGACAAGACUUGUUCAGUCAUCUCAUAAACCAGUUCCCGUUGGUUGCCUUGCUGCCCUGGGGCGCGAGCUCAUCCACCAGGGGUGCUGGCAGCCGUCCAAGUGGAGCGUUGACGCCAGUACAAGUAGAAUCGUGGGUUGCGGCCACCAUCUUCACCAAGCACCGCACAUCCGUCCAAGUCGAGCACACACACAGGGAGAACACACCAGCCCCUUUGCUUUGCACAUUGCUUUGUUAUGCAUGA
rnacentral:rRNA from 1 species